ensembl:snoRNA Gm25151 predicted gene, 25151
AGUAUGCUACACAGGUACAAAAAUAAAUUCUGUUUUGCAACUCAGAACUCAUUGCUCAGUGUGAGUUUUGAUACAUUCAAGAAAAAUUAUG